rnacentral:rRNA from 1 species
AUAAGGGGUGAAAACAUUUUUUCGUUGAAGCAACACUGGAAGGUCACUACAGGAAAUCUUCUCCGGUACGGACACUGGAAGGYUCGACAGAUUGAGAGCUUUUUCUCAAUUCGGGGGGUGGUAGUGCAUGCCCGUUCUUAGUUGGUGGGGGGGGCAUGCCUGUUCUUAGUUGGUGGAGUGAUUUGUCUGGUUAAUUCCGAUAACGAGCGAGACAACUCUUUCCUGCUAAAUAAUAUCUACGUUAUUUUUUUUUUGCAUUGACAUUUUUCUUUGUAAUGUUUGAUGGAGGUACAAACCUUCGCCCUGAUUUCGGGUCCAAACUGUCCUUCCCUCUAGCUGCCCAAGAUUGAGCAAUAACAAAUCUGUGGUGCCUUUUACAAGUACGCAACACUGAACGGAUCAGCGUGCUUUCCCUGACCGGAAGGUUCGCAAAAUCUGUUGAACCACCUUAGUGGUAGGGAUCGGGGCUUUCAAUUAUUCCCAGUGAAGAAGGAAUUCCCAGUAAGUCAUCAGCUUACAUUGAUUACGUCCC